AUCGUUUCUCAGCCUUUUGGCUAAGAUCAUGUGUAGUAGUAUCUGUUCUUAUCAGAAGCUUAGGGGUCCCUGAAAUCUGGGCUCUGCAUAGGUCAGAGGGUAGGUAGCAAGCAGGCUGGUUUCCGAUCCCCA
rnacentral:snRNA from 1 species